CUACGUGCCAGCAGCCGCGGUAAUACGUAGGGUGCGAGCGUUAAUCGGAAUUACUGGGCGCAAAGCGAGCGCAGACGGUUACUUAAGCAGGAUGUGAAAUCCCCGGGCUCAACCUGGGAACUGCGUUCUGAACUGGGUGACUAGAGUGUGUCAGAGGGAGGUAGAAUUCCACGUGUAGCAGUGAAAUGCGUAGAGAUGUGGAGGAAUACCGAUGGCGAAGGCAGCCUCCUGGGAUAACACUGACGUUCAUGCUCGAAAGCGUGGGUAGCAAACAGGAUUAGAUACCCUGGUAGUCCACGCCCUAAACGAUGUCAAUUAGCUGUUGGGCAACUUGAUUGCUUAGUAGCGUAGCUAACGCGUGAAAUUGACCGCCUGGGGAGUACGGUCGCAAGAUUAAAACUCAAAGGAAUUGACGGGGACCCGCACAAGCGGUGGAUGAUGUGGAUUAAUUCGAUGCAACGCGAAGAACCUUACCUGGUCUUGACAU
rnacentral:rRNA from 1 species